ACUAAAGACCCCAAAAGAGUUCAACCUCAUCUGAGAAAAUGUUUUGAAGGAAUUUCCAAGCUCGAGUUUAAUAAUAAUUUAGAUAUAUUAAAAAUGUGUAGUGCCGAAGGUGAACAAAUUACUCUAGAACAAUAUAUUUCGACUGUACAAGCCAAAGGAAGCGUAGAAAAAUGGUU